rnacentral:pre_miRNA from 1 species
UGGGGGGCUGGACCGUCGGUCUACCGAACAAUAUCACCCGCUCGGUAGAAGAUCUACCCUUUUCGGU